rnacentral:rRNA from 1 species
UACAGAGGGUGCAAGCGUUAAUCGGAGUUACUGGGCGUAAAGGGCGCGUAGGCGGUCUUUUAAGUGAGAUGUGAAAUCCCUGGGCUUAACCUAGGAACUGCAUCUUAUACUGGGAGACUGGAGUACUGUAGAGGGUAGUGGAAUUUCCGGUGUAGCGGUGAAAUGCGUAGAGAUCGGAAGGAACACCAGUGGCGAAGGCGGCUACCUGGACAGAUACUGACGCUGAGGCGCGAGAGCGUGGGGAGCAAACAGG